GUGCGUGAAGCCGCUCAGAGGUAAACAGAUGGAGGUGAACUGCGGGCUUUGAGAAUUCAGCUGACGAGUAUGGUUUGGACUUGGUCAAACUGGUUGAGCCUUGUGGUCUGCAUAGUAGCAGGUCUCCGUUUCUGACGGAGGUGCGUGAUACGCUCACCAUGCGUUGCGCGCCACUUGGUUCGUCGAGCCGGCUUGUCAGUGCACUUUCUCUAAGCACUCACCAUGACUGGCAUUGCUGCCUGGCUGUUGUGGUUAAACCGUUCGCUCAUCGUCCUCGUGACUUUGUUUGAUCGGGAUGGCAGAAGCUCGUUGACCUGUUUGCGAUUCGUCGCAGGCGAUCGGUUUUCGGGUGCAAUCGGCUGGCCUCAACGGUUCUGUGCGGUGUGUCAAGGACGGCGGCUAGCGGUGUGUGCGCGUGCGCCUGUUUGGUUGGCGUGCCCGGGUUUGGUCGUCAUGUUGCUUGUUCAAGCAAGCCUGAUGAUGGCUUGGGCUCGUCCGGCCGGCGGAAGUGCGUGUGACACCUCACCAGGGCCAAAAGUCUGUGGUGUUGCGGUAUAUUAUCCAUCUGACCCGUCUUGAAACACGGACCAAGGAGAGUAACAUUUGCGCGAGUUAUUGGGCGUUACGAAACCCAAAAGCGCAGUGAAAGUGAAGCUCUGGCUUGUCUAGAGUGCGGUGAGAUCCUGCUCUGUCUCAUGCGUGGUACUACCAAGUAUCGAGGAGUAGGCGCAUCACCGGCCCGUCCCAUGACAAUUGCCUUCGGGCGUCAAUCAGUCGGGGCGGAGCAUGAGCGCAAAUGUUGAGACCCGAAAGAUGGUGAACUAUGCUUGUGCAGGUUGAAGCCAGAGGAAACUCUGGUGGAGGACCGAAGCGGUUUUGACGUGCAAAUCGAUCGCCAGACGUGAGUAUAGGGGCG
rnacentral:rRNA from 1 species